GCAGUCCCCUGAGGAGCGGGGCUGGUUGAAACGCUAGGGGCGGGAUCUGGCGGAGUGGAAGAAGCGAAAUAUUAAAAAGGGAGCCGUUCCCCGCUCUAUCCCCAAUCUAGCGGAGGUAAAGAAGAAAGGCAAAAUGAAGAAGCUCGGCCAAGCAAUGGAAGAAGACCUAAUCGUGGGACUGCAAGGGAUGGAGCUGAACCUUGAGGCUGAAGCACUGGCUGGCACUGGCUUGGUGUUGGAUGAGCAGCUAAAUGAAUUCCAUUGCCUCUGGGAUGACAGCUUCCCGGAAGGCCCUGAGCGGCUCCAUGCCAUCAAGGAGCAACUGAUCCAGGAGGGCCUCCUAGAUCGCUGCGUGUCCUUUCAGGCCCGGUUUGCUGAAAAGGAAGAGCUGAUGUUGGUUCACAGGUGAAGGCUUGGGAGCCUUGUAGGGAUGGGGAGGAGCCUGCCCUGGACAAACCAGGGCAAGCUAAACGCUUUGGGAAGCAAUGUCAUGGUCUCUGCAGCCAGCCUUGGGCAAGUCGCUGAGCCUUUCUGAAUCUGUGUCAUCGCCUGUAACAAGGGGACCAGUAAACAUAAGUUCCUCAGGAGAGUUUGAUGUGUGUCAGGUGCUUAGAACAGGGCCUGAUAUAUAAUCAGCCCAUGAUGAGCUAUUACUGUUAUCAUGAUCUGAUUGUGUGAAUAGAUGGUGGAUGUGUGGACAGAGUGAUCGGGGUUCCCCCAGGGGCUUCCAGAUUUAGAGGCCUGGUGCUAUGUGGCUUGAGGAAAGCUAGCUUCCAGAGCAGGUAUCUGAGCUGAACUUUAAGAGGAGAAAAAGAGUGAGUCAGAUGAAGAGGGUGACUGAGGGAAGGGACGAACAGACAGCUGAACCAGUGUGGCCAAAGGCCUGAAAGUAGGAUUUGGUGUGGCUACUGCAGGGGAGCAGAGAACAUUACUGGAACUGAGGCGGGCUAGGGAAGAAACAGAAUGU
rnacentral:sRNA from 1 species